rnacentral:lncRNA from 1 species
GUAUGAGGUGGGUUGUGUUUAUGUAGUUGUAGUAAUCAUGUAUGAGGUGGGUUGUGUUUAUGGAGUUCAUGAAAAUAUAAUUUUCUUGAGAAGUUAAUUGUCUUGAAUAACUACUUCCAAGUGUUAAAAUAAUAUUCAGGGCUUUUAUAAAAUGUCUGAGACAAGCUCUGCCAGUCCAAAUCUCAAUGGCAGGAUGUACAUCAAAUUUGACAACACACCUAUUUUACAAGCUUCCCUUCUGACCGCUAAGGGCCCCAUUUAUUCAACAUUUGCACUUUACAUCAGGUAUCAAUAUUGCACAGUAAGUUUACCAUAGGGAAUUGGACAUACAAGGUUAAAUGAAAAGGUAAGAAUAAAGGUUCAGAAAGUGAAUCAUUUAUCAAGUAUAAAUGAAGACAGUUGGCUGUUGUAGCUUUGGUGUUUCAUCUAAUAAAAACAGGUGCAAACUUUUCACCAGUUCCAAAUGCAUAGCAAAUGUGACCUUAACUCUGUUCUGGAAAAUACCAAUCAGGCUAGGUUUAUAUGCCAUUUCACAAAAGGUUUCAGACUGCACAUUGCAAAAUAGGAAUUACACUCUUAGAAAGAAAUCUAGAACCUAAAAGGGUUCUUCUGCUGUCCCAAUAAGAGAACCCUUUGAAGAACCAUUUUAGGUUCCAGAAAGAACCCUUUUGAUUCCAGGUAGAACCCUAUUGGGUUCCAUGUAGAACCCUUUCCCAGAAGAACCCAAAGAGUUCUACCUGGAACAAAAAAAGAGUUAUCUAUGGGACAGCCAAAGAACCCUUUUGGAACCCUUUUUUCUGAGAGUGUAGGCGGUAUGAUUACUGAGCUACUGUAAAAGUGAGUACAGAACCUAUGAUGCCUGUAUCUACUCUCACCUAGCCCCAGUAAUGUUGUGUUGUAUCUAGUCUCACCUAGCCCCAGUAAUGUUGUAUCUACCCUCACCUAGCCCCAGUAAUGUUGUGUUGUAUCUACCCUCACCUAGCCCCAGUAAUGUUAUGUUGUAUCUACUCUCACCUAGCCCCAGUAAUGUUGUGUUGUAUCUACCCUCACCUAGCCCCAGUAAUGUUGUGUUGUAUCUACUUACACCUAGCCCCAGUAAUGUUGUGUUGUAUCUACCCUCACCUAGCCCCAGUCAUGUUGUGUUGUAUCUACCCUCACCUAGCCCCAGUAAUGUUGUGUUGUAUCUACUCUCACCUAGCCCCAGUAAUGUUGUGUUGUAUCUACUCUCACCUAGCUCCAGUAAUGUUGUGUUGUAUCUACUCUCACCUAGCCCCAGUAAUGUUGUGUUGUAUCUACUCUCACCUAGCCCCAGUAAUGUUGUGUUGUAUCUACCCUCACCUAGCCCCAGUAAUGUUGUGUUGUAUCUACUCUCACCUAGCCCCAGUAAUGUUAUGUUGUAUCUACUCUCACCUAGCCCCAGUAAUGUUGUGUUGUAUCUACUCUCACCUAGCCCCAGUAAUGUUGUGUUGUAUCUAGUCUCACCUAGCCCCAGUAAUGUUAUGUUGUAUCUACUCUCACCUAGCCCCUGUGCUCUUGAAAGCAGCCCCGUUCACUUGGCUUAUAAAUAG